GGGUUGGAGGACUAGUGGUUAGGCCACAGCGCUCUCACCACCACGGCCCGGGCUCAACUCCCGGCUGGGGCU